UUUACAAUAAAGGGCUGUGUUUAAACCAUUUAUCACCAACACUCGAUCACUCACUUACACGGUCUCUCUCUUCUGCAACAAUCGCUCGAUCGUUAUGGCCCAUCGUCUACUCCGAUCCUUGCGCAGAACACUUCUCUCUCCUCUCUCUUCUCACCAUGAAACCCUAAUUCAUCAUCGACAACCCUCUCUCUCACUUCGAACCAGAACUUACAUCACUGAGAUGCGAAAAUCGGCCUUGGAAGGUAACAUCCUCAGACUCCUCCGCAAUGAGAUCCAGUACGAACUCGACCGCUCUCCUCCCUCUCAGCCUCUUUCCAAGUUCGAUUCAUUUAUUGUUGAUGAACGGCCGGGCGAGCAGUGGAUUAGAUUGAAUAAGAAAUUUGGAGAAAAUGAGGAGAUUAAAGUUGAAGUGACCAUGUUUGAUGGCUCUGUCCCUGUUAAGAAAACUGGAAAUGUAGCCACAGAAGAAGAUGUAAAGCUUCACAUUACAUUGAUUGUUGACAUCUUCAAGGGGGAAGGAAGUGAUGUGUUGGAGUUUGUGUGCUCAGCAUGGCCAGAUAACAUAGAGAUUCAGAGAGUCUUCAUGCGUCGUCGCGACCAGAUGGUUGGUCUGCCUUACAAUGCGUACAUGGGUCCUGGAUUCAAGGAAUUGGACGAUGAGCUGCAAGAUUCGCUUUAUGAUUUCUUGGAAGCAAGGGGUAUAAAUGAUGACCUUGCUGUUUUCUUGCAUGGAUAUAUGAACAACAAAGAUAAAACUGAGUUUAUUCGGUGGAUGGGCACUGUCAAGACUUUCAUAGAAAAGAAAUAGAGGGUUUAGAUCUGCAAUGCUGGGACUCACUUCAUGAUUGAUCGCUUUUAAUCAAUAAUGAAUGAUUAUCCAGCUGGCUCUUUGAUUAACGCUCAAAAACUACAGCAAAGAGGAGAGCAUAAAGGUAGAAUAACUAUAGAGAUGCCACUGUGUCUUCAUCCAAUCAACAGAGGUGAAUAUAAUUGGCAAAUGGACUUUCCCUAUCAACUUUUAGAUAUUUUUUAACAUAGAAAGGCUAAGAAGCACGAACAUUUCUAUGGAGGAAGUGUGUUGUGUCCGACCACUGUGUCCGACAUGAUACUCUUAAAAGCGUGUCCUGUCUUCUUCAACGUGUCUUGAUUAAAAAAUCAAUUCAUAAGAUAGGACACUUUAGCGACAUUUCGUGGACACUUUGGCAACAACCAUCCAAAUAAGUCCUAUAUGAUGAAUCCCUUCAUUAUAACAAUAUUUUCCAUUCUUCAUAACACAAUUUAUGUAUCCUAAAUAUGUUUUGAAUCAUUUAUAAGAUGAAUACAUUAUGUGCAAUACAAUGUUAUUUAAUUAUUUUGCAUUGUUUAGAAUGUAAUUACUAUGCAGAUGAUAUCUUGAUGUUUGAUUUAUCAAAUAUAUAGUUUUUUAAUGUAA